GGAAUGGUCUGGGCGCGAGCCCGCCUGGAGCCGCCGCCGGUGCAGAUCUUGGUGGUAGUAGCAAAUACUCCAGCGAGGCCCUGGAGGACUGAUGUGGAGAAGGGUUUCUUGUGAACAGCUGUUGCACAAGAGUCAGUCGAUCCUAAGCCCUAGGAGAAAUCCGAAGCGAUGGCCUGCCGUUAAAUUUCUGAUGGCCGGCGAGAGCGAGACGAGACGAGAAGAGGCGCGGGGAGGUACGUUACAACGCGUAUCUCUCACUCUCUCUCUCUCCGUCUCUCUCCUCUCGACCGGGUACCGUUUUAGAGAUGGCACCGUCUGGGCGAAAGGGAGUCCGGUUCCUAUUCCGGAACCCGGCCGCGGAACCGCUCCAAUUCGGGCCCUCAUCCGAGGACUCGUCGGGGUGACCCGAAAUGACCAGGAGAAGCCGUAGGGAGGUCCGGGGAGAGUUGUCUCUUCUCUAUAAGCGUUCGAGUUCCCUGGAAGCCUCUAGGAGGGAGAUAGGGUUUGGAACGCGAAGAGCACCGCACUUACGGCGGUGUCCGGAUCUUCCCCUAGGACCUUGAAAAUCCGGGCGAGGGCCACGAGGAACACCGCGCCGGCUCGUACCCAUAUCCGCAGCAGGUCUCCAAGGUGAAUAGCCUCUAGUCGAUAGAAUAAUGUAGGUAAGGGAAGUCGGCAAACCCGAUCUGUAACUUCGGGAUAAGGAUUGGCUCUGAGGAUCGUGGCGCGCCGGGCUUGGUCGGGAAGUGGAGCGGUGCCAACGUGCCGGGCCUGGGCGAGGUGAAGGGCGCUCGUCGUCUGGACCCUAGCUCGGUCCCGUGCCUUGGCCACCCACGGACCUUCCUUGCUGCGAGCC
rnacentral:rRNA from 1 species